rnacentral:rRNA from 1 species
GACGAACGCUGGCGGCGUGCUUAACACAUGCAAGUCGAACGGAAAGGCCCUGCUUUUGUGGGGUGCUCGAGUGGCGAACGGGUGAGUAACACGUGAGUAACCUGCCCUUGACUUUGGGAUAACUUCAGGAAACUGGGGCUAAUACCGGAUAGGAGCUCCUGCUGCAUGGUGGGGGUUGGAAAGUUUCGGCGGUUGGGGAUGGACUCGCGGCUUAUCAGCUUGUUGGUGGGGUAGUGGCUUACCAAGGCUUUGACGGGUAGCCGGCCUGAGAGGGUGACCGGCCACAUUGGGACUGAGAUACGGCCCAGACUCCUGCGGGCGGCAGCAGUGGGGAAUAUUGCACAAUGGGCGGAAGCCUGAUGCAGCAACGCCGCGUGCGGGAUGACGGCCUUCGGGUUGUAGACCGCUUUCGCCUGUGACGAAGCGUGCGUGACGGUAAUGGGUAAAGAAGCACCGGCUCACUACGUG